GGAUGGGUGGCCGAGCGGUUUAAGGCACCGGUCUUGAAAACCGGCGUAGGGGCGACCCUACCGUGGGUUCGAAUCCCACCCCAUCCGCCA
rnacentral:tRNA from 3 species